rnacentral:tRNA from 1 species
GCAACAGUGGUGUAAUGGUAACAUUGGGUCUUCCCAGUUGAGUAUGGCCUAGCCCCGGGUUCGAUUCCCGGCUGUUGCA